CCACGUGUGGCAGCAGUGGGGAAUAUUGGACAAUGGGCGAAAGCCUGAUCCAGCCAUGCCGCGUGUGUGAAGAAGGCCUUCGGGUUGUAAAGCACUUUCAGUGGGGAAGAAAGCCUUGGGGCUAAUACCCUCGAGGAAGGACAUCACCCACAGAAGAAGCACCGGCUAACUCCGUGCCAGCAGCCGCGGUAAUACGGAGGGUGCGAGCGUUAAUCGGAAUUACUGGGCGUAAAGCGCGCGUAGGCGGUCUGAUAAGCCGGUUGUGAAAGCCCCGGGCUCAACCUGGGAACGGCAUCCGGAACUGUCAGGCUAGAGUGCAGGAGAGGAAGGUAGAAUUCCCGGUGUAGCGGUGAAAUGCGUAGAGAUCGGGAGGAAUACCAGUGGCGAAGGCGGCCUUCUGGACUGACACUGACGCUGAGGUGCGAAAGCGUGGGUAGCAAACAGGAUUAGAUACCCCGGUAGUC
rnacentral:rRNA from 1 species